UACGGAGGGGGUUAGCGUUGUUCGGAAUGACUGGGCGUAAAGCGCGCGUAGGCGGAUCAGGAAGUUGGGGGUGAAAUCCCGGGGCUCAACCCCGGAAUGGCCUUCAAAACUCCUGGUCUUGAGUUCGAGAGAGGUGAGUGGAAUUCCGAGUGUAGAGGUGAAAUUCGUAGAUAUUCGGAGGAACACCAGUGGCGAAAGGCGGCUCACUGGCUCGACACUGACGCUGAGGUGCGAAAGCGUGGGGAGCAAACAGGA
rnacentral:rRNA from 1 species